UAUUUGGUUCAGAAGGAGGAAAAAUACCAGGCAAGAGCCAUUACUUCGGCCCCAGUGACCAAAAGAAAACAACCGGAGACCCACACAGUUGGUCCGAGAUCAAUUCCUUAAGUAUGCAU